AACGCACAUUGCGCCCGGCAGUAAUCUGCCGGGCAUGCCUGUCCGAGCGUCAUUUCACCCCUCGAGCCGCUUUUAGUGGAUCGGUGUUGGGGCACUACGGUAAAACGUAGGCCCCGAAAUGAAGUGGCGGUCCCGCCGCGGUGCCCCCAUGCGUAGUAACGUUUAGUCUCGCAUCGGGUCCCGGCGGAGGCCUGCCGUCAAGCCUAUUUAUUCUCAGAAUAGUUUGACCUCGGAUCAGGUAGGGUUACCCGCUGAACUUAA
rnacentral:misc_RNA from 2 species